rfam:Gossypium arboreum cultivar AKA8401 contig_32185_1, whole genome shotgun sequence.
AGUUAAAAUUUUCAUCCAUUUCUACGAUUAAAAACUGGUGUGACUGAUGGAAUAACCGGAUAGUUAUACAUGACAUGCCACGUGUACCUUAUAUCAAUGUACAACAACUAAUUUUAAUAGUAGAAAUAGAUGACAUUUUUAACA